rnacentral:rRNA from 1 species
AUUGAACGCUGGCGGCAGGCUUAACACAUGCAAGUCGAGCGCGCGGCGGACGGGUGCGUAAUGUCUGGGAAACUGCCUGAUGGAGGGGGAUAAAUACUGGAAACGGUAGCUAAUACCGCAUACCAUCAGAUGUGCCCAGAUGGGAUGAGCUAGUAGGGGGGGUAAUGGCUCACCUAGGCGACGAUCCCUAGCUGGUCUGAGAGGAUGACCGGCCACCCUGGAACUGAGACACGGUCCAGACUCCUACGGGAGGCAGCAGUGGGGAAUAUUGCACAAUGGGCGCAAGCCUGAUGCAGCCAUGCCGCGUGUGUGAAGAAGGCCUUCGGGUUGUAAAGUACUUUCAGCGGGGAGGCGUUACCCGCAGAAGAAGCACCGGCUAACUCCGUGCCAGCAGCCGCGGUAAUAC